UUUCCGUAGGUGAACCUGCGGAAGGAUCAUUCAUAAUAAGUGUUUUAUGGCACUUUUUUAAAUCCAUAUCCACCUUGUGUGCAAUGUCAGGGUUGAUUUUUCUCUCGAGAGGAUCAACCCCAAACAUCAACUAUAUCUCAACGCUUUGUCUGAAAAAUAUUAUGAAUAAAACAAUUCAAAAUACAACUUUCAACAACGGAUCUCUUGGCUCUC
rnacentral:misc_RNA from 1 species